AAUGAACGCUGGCGGCGUGCCUAACACAUGCAAGUCGGAUGUGCCGCAAGGUGCAUGGCAGACGGGUGAGUAACGCGUGGGGAAUCUACCUUUUUGUGGGGAAUAACGCUCCGAAAGGAGUGGUAAUACCGCAUGAGACCAGUGGCUGGGAUGCUGCUGGUGAAACCUGGGGACCGCAAGGCCUGGGGCAAAGAGAGGAUCCUGCGUCUGAUUAGCUAGUUGGCGGGGUAAUGGCCCACCAAGGCGACGAUCAGUAGCCGGCCUGAGAGGGUGAUCGGCCACACUGGAACUGAGACACGGUCCAGACUCCUACGGGAGGCAGCAGUGGGGAAUUUUGCGCAAUGGACGAGAGUCUGACGCAGCAACGCCGCGUGGGUGAUGAAGGUCUUCGGACUGUAAAACCCUGUCGUCAGGGACGAAGGUGGCAGUGUUAAUAGCGCUGUUACUUGACGGUACCUGGAGAGGAAGCCCCGGCUAACUCUGUGCCAGCAGCCGCGGUAAUACAGAGGGGGCAAGCGUUAUUCGGAAUUAUUGGGCGUAAAGGGCGCGUGGGCGGUUUUUUAAGUCAGAUGUGUAAUCCCCGAGCUCAACUUGGGAACUGCAUCUGAGACUGGAAGGCUAGAGUACUGGAGAGGGUGGUGGAAUUCCUCGUGUAGCGGUGAAAUGCGUAGAGAUGAGGAGGAACACCAGUGGCGAAGGCGGCCACCUGGACAGUAACUGACGCUGAGGCGCGAAAGUGUGGGUAGCAAACAGGAUUAGAUACCCUGGUAGUCCACGCUGUAAACGAUGAACACUUGGUGUGGAGGGAGUUGACCCCUUCCGUGCCGGAGCUAACGCGUUAAGUGUUCCGCCUGGGGAGUACGGUCGCAAGGCUGA
rnacentral:rRNA from 1 species